GCAAGUCGAACGGAAACAGGCGGUAGCAAUACUGCGCUGUCGAGUGGCGCACGGGUGCGUAACACGUAUGCAACCUACCCUUAACUGGGGAAUAACCCUGUGAAAGCGGGGCUAAUACCCCAUAACAUUAUGGUAAGGCAUCUUACUAUUAUCAAAGAUUUAUCGGUUAGGGAUGGGCAUGCGCCCCAUUAGUUAGUUGGUUAGGUAACGGCUAACCAAGACUGUGAUGGGUAGGGGUUCUGAGAGGAUUAUCCCCCACACUGGUACUGAGACACGGACCAGACUCCUACGGGAGGCAGCAGUAAGGAAUAUUGGGCAAUGGACGCAAGUCUGACCCAGCCAUGCCGCGUGCAGGAUGACGGCCUUAUGGGUUGUAAACUGCUUUUGUAUGGGAUUAAAGUGUUGUACGUGUACGACAUUGCAAGUACCAUACGAAUAAGCAUCGGCUAACUCCGUGCCAGCAGCCGCGGUAAUACGGAGGAUGCAAGCGUUAUCCGGAAUCAUUGGGUUUAAAGGGUGCGUAGGUUGAUUAUUAAGUCAGUGGUGAAAAUUCCGGGCUCAACCCGGGACUUGCCGUUGAAACUGAUAAUCUUGAGUGUAACUGAUGUGGGCGGAAUGUGUCAAGUAGCGGUGAAAUGCAUAGAUAUGACACAGAACACCAAAAGCGAAGGCAGGUAGCUGGAUCAGGACUGACGCUGAGAGACGAAAGCGUGGGUAGCGAACAGGAUUAGAUACCCUGGUAGUCCACGCCGUAAACGAUGAGUGCUAGGCGUUGGAGAGCCAUUUCGACCCUUUCCAGUGUCUAAAGUUAACACGUUAAGCACUCCGCCUGGGGAGUACGAGCGCAAGCUUAAAACUCAAAGGAAUAGACGGGGGCCCGCACAAGCGGUGGAGCAUGUGGUUUAAUUCGACAAUAAGCGAGGAACCUCACCUGGGCUUGACAUCUCAAGAAUCCUCUGGAAACAGAGGAGUGCCCGCAAGGGAAUUUGAUGACAGGCGCUGCAUGGUUGUCGUCAGCUCGUGCCCUGAGGUGUUCGGUUAAGUCCGUAAACGAGCGCAACCCUUAUCGUAUGUUG
rnacentral:rRNA from 1 species